rnacentral:rRNA from 1 species
UACGUAGGGCGCAAGCGUUAUCCGGAAUUAUUGGGCGUAAAGAGCUCGUAGGCGGUUUGUCGCGUCUGCCGUGAAAGUCCGGGGCUCAACUCCGGAUCUGCGGUGGGUACGGGCAGACUAGAGUGAUGUAGGGCAGACUGGAAUUCCUGGUGUAGCGGUGAAAUGCGCAGAUAUCAGGAGGAACACCGAUGGCGAAGGCAGGUCUCUGGGCAUUAACUGACGCUGAGGAGCGAAAGCAUGGGGAGCGAACAGG